CCUACGGGUGGCAGCAGUGGGGAAUAUUGCGCAAUGGGCGAAAGCCUGACGCAGCGACGCCGCGUGCGGGAUGAAGGUCUUCGGAUCGUAAACCUCUGUCAGCAGGGAAGAACGGUCACUGUGCUAAUCAGCAGUGAAUUGACGGUACCUGCAAAGGAAGCACCGGCUAACUCCGUGCCAGCAGCCGCGGUAAUACGGAGGGUGCGAGCGUUAAUCGGAAUUACUGGGCGUAAAGCGCUCGUAGGCGGUAUGUCAAGUCAAGGGUGAAAUCCCCGCGCUCAACGUGGGAACUGCCUUUGAAACUGGCAAACUGGAGUGUGUGAGAGGAUAGUGGAAGUCCAGGUGGAGGAGUGAAAUGCGUAGAUAUCUGGAGGAACAUCAGUGGCGAAGGCGACUAUCUGGCACAUAACUGACGCUGAGGAGCGAAAGCGUGGGUAGCAAACAGGAUUAGAUACCCCGGUAGUC
rnacentral:rRNA from 1 species